GGGAUUAGAUACCCCACUAUGCUUAGCCUUAAACCUAGAUAUUAAUUUUACAAAAAAUAUCCGCCAGGGUACUACAAGCGCUAGCUUAAAACCCAAAGGACUUGACGGUGUCUCAGACCCACCUAGAGGAGCCUGUUCUAGAACCGAUACUCCUCGUUUAACCUCACCAUCCCUUGCCCCAGCAGCCUAUAUACCGCCGUCGCAAGCUUACCCUGUGAAGGAUAAUUAGUAAGCAAAAUGGAUAAUCUCCAAAACGUCAGGUCGAGGUGUAGCCCACGGGAUGGGAAGAAAUGGGCUACAUUUUCUAAAUUAGAAUAUACGAACGGCACUAUGAAAUUAUGCCUGAAGGUGGAUUUAGUAGUAAAAGUCAAAUAGAGUGUCACUUUGAACCAGGCUCUGAGACGCGCACACACCGCCCC
rnacentral:rRNA from 1 species